rnacentral:rRNA from 1 species
GACGGAGGGUGCAAGCGUUGUUCGGAAUUACUGGGCGUAAAGGGCGCGUAGGCGGUCUGUUAAGUUCGGUGUGAAAGCCCCCGGCUCACCUGGGGAACUGCGCCGGAAACCGACAGACUCGAGUACCGGAGAGGAGGGUGGAAUUCCUGGUGUAGCGGUGAAAUGCGUAGAUAUCAGGAGGAACACCGGUGGCGAAGGCGGCCCUCUGGACGGAUACUGACGCUGAGGCGCGAAAGCGUGGGGAUCAAACGGG